ensembl:snRNA U6 U6 spliceosomal RNA
GUAUCCACUUCAGCAGCACAAACACUAAAAUUGGAAUGAUGCAGAGAAGAUUAUCAUGAAUGGCAUGCAAAUUCAUGAAGCCUUCCGUAUUUUG